UACGUAGGGUGCGAGCGUUGUCCGGAAUUAUUGGGCGUAAAGCGCGUGUAGGCGGCUUUGCAAGUCGGGUGUGAAAGCCCUCAGCUCAACUGAGGAAGUGCGCCCGAAACUGCAGAGCUUGAGUACCGGAGAGGAUGGCGGAAUUCCCCAAGUAGAGGUGAAAUUCGUAGAUAUGGGGAGGAACACCGGUGGCGAAGGCGGCCAUCUGGACGGAUACUGACGCUGAGACGCGAAAGCGUGGGUAGCAAACAGG
rnacentral:rRNA from 1 species